GCUGGGAUAGCUCAGUUGGUAGAGCAUGAGACUUAAAUUCAGGGUUGUGGGUUUGAGCCCCAUGUGGGGUG